UACUUUUGCAGCUCGUUACAUAAUAAUCAUUAAAUAAUAUUGGCAUG
rnacentral:ncRNA from 1 species